rnacentral:lncRNA from 1 species
CACAGAUAUCUAUACAGAACUAAUGUAGAUCGAAGUAUCUGAAAUCAUCGAGGUGCUAGCUCUCUUGCAGAUCUCGCUACUUCUGAUCUAGAUCUGAUCUCUUUCUUCGACUGUCGUAGAAGUAGAUCUGAAGAUGGAUCUUCAUGCAAAUACCUUUCGCACAGGAUCGAAAGAUGCGAGCAAUGAUAGGAGAACUCCUUCUCCUUUCCUUCUCUUUCUCUCUCAUUGAUCUCUCUU